rnacentral:rRNA from 1 species
UACGUAGGGUGCGAGCGUUAAUCGGAAUUACUGGGCGUAAAGCGUGCGCAGGCGGUUUUGUAAGCCAGAUGUGAAAUCCCCGGGCUUAACCUGGGAAUGGCAUUUGGGACUGCAAGGCUGGAGUAUGGCAGAGGGGACUAGAAUUCCUGGUGUAGCAGUGAAAUGCGUAGAUAUCAGGAGGAAUACCGAUGGCGAAGGCAGGUCUCUGGGCCACUACUGACGCUGAGAAGCGAAAGCAUGGGGAGCGAACAGG